rnacentral:misc_RNA from 1 species
AAUUCUCAACCUCACCUAGUUUCUGACUUGUGUGAUGGCUUGGACUUGGGAGUUGUGCAGGCUGCAGUUCUCUGCGGUUCUGCUCUCCUUAAAUGUAUUAGCAGGUCUUUUACCUCUAUCCCAACAGUGUGAUAAUCUAUCUACGCUGCUGGUUUUGGAGACCCACUUGUGGGGGACUGGCUUCUAACCGUCUGCAAAGACAAACUUGACAU